rnacentral:rRNA from 1 species
UACGUAGGGGGCAAGCGUUGUCCGGAAUCACUGGGCGUAAAGCGCGUGUAGGCGGCCAGAAAAGUCCGCUGUGAAAACUCGAGGCUCAACUUCGAGCUGUCGGUGGAAACUUUCUGGCUAGAGUCCGGAAGAGGAGAAUGGAAUUCCUGGUGUAGCGGUGAAAUGCGCAGAUAUCAGGAAGAACACCCGUGGCGAAGGCGGUUCUCUGGGCCUUACCUGACGCUGAGGAGCGAAAGCGUGGGUAGCGAACAGG